rnacentral:rRNA from 1 species
AUUGAACGCUGGCGGCAUGCCUUACACAUGCAAGUCGAACGGUAACAGGUCUUCGGAUGCUGACGAGUGGCGAACGGGUGAGUAAUACAUCGGAACGUACCUAGUAGUGGGGGAUAACUACUCGAAAGAGUGGCUAAUACCGCAUGAGAUCUACGGAUGAAAGCAGGGGAUCGCAAGACCUUGUGCUACUAGAGCGGCCGAUGGCAGUUUAGGUAGUUGGUGGGAUAAAAGCUUACCAAGCCGACGAUCUGUAGCUGGCCUGAGAGGACGAUCAGCCACACUGGGACGGAGAAACGGCCCAGACUCCUACGGGAGGCAGCAGUGGGGAAUUUUGGACAAUGGGCGCAAGCCUGUUCCAGAAAUGCCGCGUGCAGGAUGAAGGCCUUCGGGUUGUAAACUGCUUUUGUACGGAACGAAAAGCCCCGGGUUAAUACCCUGGGGUCAUGACGGUACCGUAAGAAUAAGCACCGGCUAACUACGUGCCAGCCGCCGCCGUAA